rfam:Daphnia magna strain Xinb3 contig11241, whole genome shotgun sequence.
GGGGGUAUAGCUCAGUGGUAGAGCAUUCGACUGUAGAUCGUAAUGUCCCCAGUUCAAACCUGGGUGCCCCCU